rnacentral:rRNA from 1 species
CAGAGGUUCGAAGGCGAUCAGAUACCGCCCUAGUUCUGACCGUAAACGAUGCCACCUGACGAACCGGCAGGGUUACUACCAUGACUCGGCGGGCAGUCCCCGGGGAAACCCAAGCCUUCGGGUUCCGGGGGAAGUAUGGUUGCAAAGCUGAAACUUAAAGGAAUUGACGGAAGGGCACCACCAGGAGUGGAGCCUGCGGCUUAAUUUGACUCAACACGGGGAACCUCACCCGGCCCGGACACCGCGAGGAUUGACAGAUUGAGAGCUCUUUCUCGAUUCGGUGGGUGGUGGUGCAUGGCCGUUCUUAGUUGGUGGAGCGAUUUGUCUGGUUAAUUCCGAUAACGAACGAGACUCUAGCCGGUUAAGUAGCCCGAGCGGUUUUUGAUCUUUGCCGUUCAUCCCCGUUCGACCUUU